UACGUAGGGAGCAAGCGUUGUCCGGAAUUAUUGGGCGUAAAGCGCGCGCAGGCGGCCUUUUAAGUCUGAUGUGAAAGCCCACGGCUCAACCGUGGAAGGUCAUUGGAAACUGAAAGGCUUGAGUACAGAAGAGGAAAGCGGAAUUCCACGUGUAGCGGUGAAAUGCGUAGAGAUGUGGAGGAACACCAGUGGCGAAGGCGGCUUUCUGGUCUGUAACUGACGCUGAGGCGCGAAAGCGUGGGGAGCAAACAGG
rnacentral:rRNA from 1 species